rnacentral:lncRNA from 1 species
UGAAAUAUUUGAAGGCAAAUAGAGUUUUUAUGAGUUUCUUGGUUGAAAAUUUAAUCCAAGUUGAUCACACGGAAGUUGCCGAUGUGAAGGAAGAAGCAAGGGGGAUUGGUGACGAGCCUCGGUCUGGCGUAGAACGCCGACAUAAAACCAAGGCUACCACGUGAGAUCGGCCUCAUUUGCCGCUUGACUUCGCCGAUAACAGAAGAGAAGUUUCCCACCAUCCCUCCCUUACUGCUUUCUUUAUGUUUAGCUAUAUUGUUGUAUGCAUAAUUUUUUGUUGGCGUUUUUGUGCUCUUUACUGGGCAAGACUAUAUUAUAUAUAAUUUAAAUCAAAUACUUGUUAUUGAAAAAUUUUAUUAUUAAUAAAGCGGCUUUGGGGGU